rnacentral:rRNA from 1 species
CAGUAGCCGCGGGAAAACGGAGGGUGCAAGCGUUAUCCGGAUUUAUUGGGUUUAAAGGGUCCGUAGGCGGAUCUGUAAGUCAGUGGUGAAAUCUCACAGCUUAACUGUGAAACUGCCAUUGAUACUGCAGGUCUUGAGUAAAUUUGAAGUGGCUGGAAUAAGUAGUGUAGCGGUGAAAUGCAUAGAUAUUACUUAGAACACCAAUUGCGAAGGCAGGUCACUAAGAUUUAACUGACGCUGAUGGACGAAAGCGUGGGGAGCGAACAGGAUUAGAUACCCGUGUAGUCCCUGUCUCUUAUAC